CACCCCCUACGGGGGGCAGCAGUGGGGGAUAUUGCACAAUGGGGGAAACCCUGAUGCAGCGACGCCGCGUGAGCGAUGAAGUAUUUCGGUAUGUAAAGCUCUCUCAGCAGGGAAGAAAAUGACGGUACCUGACUAAGAAGCCCCGGCUAAUUACGUGCCAGCAGCCGCGGUAAUACGUAGGGGGCAAGCGUUAUCCGGAUUUACUGGGUGUAAAGGGAGCGUAGACGGCACUGCAAGUCCGGAGUGAAAGCCCAAGGCUUAACCAUGGGACUGCUCUGGAAACUGUGGAGCUUGAGUGCGGGAGG
rnacentral:rRNA from 1 species